CGGCGCCCGUCACUGCGUCACGGCUCGGGCUGCUCGGCGUGGAGAGAACAAGUCUCGGCGAGCUGAGCAUGCAGCGGAGUGGACGUGCGGCGCCUCUCCCUCUUUCUCAAUUCAGGCCUGGCAACACCUCUCUCUCUCUUUCUUUCACGUAGGCAUUGUAGACGAGCACCUUCGCAAGAGACGAGCACAACUGCGGCAGAGCUCGCGGCGCGGCCGGCAGGCCAACAUGACUCGAGCUCGAGGUCUCAUUCCUUCGUCACCGGUGCACAACCACGUGUACACGAAAGGGAGUAGCAGCGCGACGCCGUGCUCCUGGACAGGGAGUCGCAUCUCGAUCCUGGUCGUGUUCGUAGCUGCGCCGUGGUCCUGGCCAGGGAGCCGCGCCGGGCUCGUGUUCGUAGUUGCGUCGUGGUGCAUCUCGCAGGCCAGCAGCGCACCAGCCAAGCUAGCACACGAGCAUCUGGAUGCAUCCAGUAGCUUCUGUGCUACUAGCUGAUAAGCACAUUUCAUAUAUAUAAUUUUGGCAUACAGAUAUACUCCCUCUGUAAACAUUUAUAAGAGCGUUUAGAAAGUGCAGCUCAAAUUUCGUAACACUACGCAAAUUGUGUGGUUUCCCAUUUUGCCCCCGCGCUCACUCACUCAUUGCUCACUCGCUCUGCUGAUUCCCCUCCCUCUCACCGCACUCUCUCCCCAAAUCCCUAGCCCCCUCUUGCCGGCGCCGCUCUCCCUCACGCCGGCGCCGCUACCUAGCUCGCCCGCGUCGUGUCGCCCCUUCUCCCUUUCGCCUGCGCCGCCUUCUCCCUCUCGCUGGCGUCUCCUGCGCCACCUUCUCCCGCUCGAGGCAAAGUUGCCCUUUUUACCAAGGUCGAGGAGGAGCGGGAGGACAGCCUUGUCCUGCUCGACGACGGUGACGUAUUUCUUCUGCUUGACGACGCCGGCAACGAACGCCGGCGCUCCUCGUCGCCCUCGACCUGCAAGGAGGAGCGCCUACCCCAUGUUGGGCCGGAGAUCUGCUGGAGCAAGGAGUGCGUGAAGAAGCCCCUGGAGCGGCAGAAGCAGGGGCGGGGGAGCGAGUCGGACGCCGGGGGUCGUCCACGGCGUCGUCGAAGCAGAGCAGCGGUGGGUCCUCGUUCAGGCUGCAGCAGCUCCUCCAUGCGCCCCGCCAUCUUCCUCUGCUGCGUCGACGGUGGAGUGCGGCGAACUCUGUGUCUGCAUGUACUCUUCUUGCUUCUUGCUUCUGUAUGGAUGUAUGGAUGAUUCGAGGAGUACUAUUGUGAGAAGUGCAUACAAGAAUUGCUCUAGGGACUCACCGAUGCUAGAGUGGUGGUGUGCAGUUCAAGUCUGGGAGCACCAUACUGUUCUGGUGUUGUUGCUUCUAGUAUUGCUCCUCUUGUUCUGCCUCAAUAAGUGUUGCUGCUUGUCCCUGCCUCAAUAAGUGUUAUUGCUCUUCUAGUAUUGCUCCUCUUGCACCAUAAUUACUCUGAAAUUUUCCAAAAAAGCAAGUUUAAUACUCCAAAAAGGGAAAAACAAACAAACCAUGGAUCUUAUCUCUAGGUUGCUUAACCCUGAAACAAUGUAUCUUCUGCAAUGUAGUAGUAAUGCCAUCUAGAUAAUGCAAGAGUAGUAGUAACUGAAACUUCUUGUGAAUUUAACUGAGACUUCUGCAUUUGUACUCUGUAAGAUUCUAGCUGUAGAGACAAAAUGCUCCUUCAUUUGAUUAGCAUUUAACUGCAGUAACGUUUAGAUUGGUUGCAACAAACAAAAUACAGAUAUGUCAAUGAGUAAAUUUCUUAUUAAUAUGGUCCGGUUGCAGAAAUACAGAUGAUUCAACUCUAGGAACCAGAAUGCAUUAAACAAAAUUAAAACAAGGUACUGGUACUCAUUUGGUCAAUGUGCUACUCAUUUGACAGAUUUGUCUUUUGACAUAAUCCAUUUCAUAGUGAUGUUUCUUGACACACAAGUGAUACUGUGCAGACAAGUGACAAUUCUUCUUUAAAUUACAAAUGCUGUAGUUACAAGUAACUCCAUGUUUACUUCUCACUGUUUGCAAAUGAGAAAUUAUAAAUGUUUACUCCAUGUUUACUUCUCACUGUUUGCAAAUUAGUAAUGUUUCGACAAGGAGUAUUGUGCAGUAGGAGUACAAUACUCUGUAUUUUGACAAACAAGUGCAACAUCUCAUAUGUGAUUAUGCAUUGAUCUGAACCUAUGCAUUUAACUCAAUCUAUGCCGAAUCUAACUGAUACUCCAGUCUGUUUGCAGAAUUUACAGUAAAAUUUACUCUAGGGAGCAAGAUCAGAUUACUGCAGCUAGGGGCGAGGCAAGGAGAACCUGCCUGGAGACCACGUGCGGCAGCGACGAUCCAGGUGGGCUGGGCGCGGCGAGGACCAAGUUGAGGGGGCGGCGACCAAGCUGGGCGCGGCGGCGACCAAGCUGAGGCGGAGGCGACCAAACUGGGCGCCUGGGCGCGGGGCCGAGCGCCUGGACGAAGGGGCCGAGCGCUUGGAGACGGGUCCGAGCGCCUGGAUGAUGAGGACGACGCGUGCUCAUGGAGGAGGGGGGCGGCGCAAGCUACUGGAGGAGGACGACGGCGCAAGCUCCUGGAGGAAGACGACGGCACGAGCUCCUGGAGGAAGACGACAGCACGAGCUCCUGGAGGAUGGGGACGAUGCGAGCUCCUGGAGGAUGGGGACGGCGCGAGCUCCUGGGGGAAGGGGACGGCACGAACUCCUGGGGGAUGGGGACGGCGCGAGCUCCUGGGGGAUGGGGACGGCGCGAGCUCAAAUCGAGGGUAAAAUGGUCUAAUUCCCCAUUUGUUGGCUGUGUCCUAAAAUUCUAAACGCUCUUAUAAAAGUUUAUAGAGGGAGUAUCAUUUGUUGAGUUCUGACCAUCAACUCUUGCUAUUAAAUAUCGAAAUAUG